UGUAUAAUUUUCUUUAUAUUUCACAAACUAAAUACUUUAAUGCCACAAAUUUUAUAUGUAUAGCUUUUUAAUACAAUAACCUAUCUUCUUGAAAAGAUUUGAGCUAGAAUUUCAUCUAAAAAAUCAAGAUAUGGCUUCUACCAUUAUUAUGAAUAAAAUCACUUACUUAUUGCCUUUGAUUUGGAUGUAUUGACUUCAAUUCUUUGUAACUUCUUUAUUUGAACUCCAAAUUCAUCA
rnacentral:lncRNA from 1 species